rnacentral:rRNA from 1 species
AACGCGAAGAACCUUACCUGGGCUCGAACGGCUUCGGACAAACUGUGGAAACACGGUCUUCCCGCAAGGGACUGGAGUCGAGGUGCUGCAUGGCUGUCGUCAGCUCGUGUCGUGAGAUGUUGGGUUAAGUCCCGCAACGAGCGCAACCCUUGUCCUGUGUUGGCAUGCCGCAAGGCGCAACUCUCAGGAGACCGCCAGCGAUAAGCUGGAGGAAGGUGGGGAUGACGUCAAGUCAUCAUGGCCUUUAUGUCCAGGGCCACACACGUGCUACAAUGGGCGGUACAAAGCGCUGCCAACCCGCGAGGGGGAGCUAAUCGCCAAAAACCGUCCUCAGUUCGGAUUGCAGGCUGCAACUCGCCUGCAUGAAGCUGGAAUCGCUAGUAAUGCUAUAUCAGAACGAUAGCGUGAAUACGUUCCCGGGCCUUGUA